rnacentral:rRNA from 1 species
AGAGUUUGAUCAGCUCAGAUUGAACGCUGGCGGCAGGCCUAACACAUGCAAGUCGAACGGUAACAGGAAGAAGCUUGCUUCUUUGCUGACGAGUGGCGGACGGGUGAGUAAUGUCUGGGAAACCGCCUGAUGGAGGAUAACUACUGGAAACGGCUAAUACCGCAUAACGUCGCAAGACCAAAGAGGGGACCUUCGGGCCUCUUGCCAUCGGAUGUGCCCAGAUCGGAUUAGCUAGUAGGGGGUAACGGCUCACCUAGGCGACGAUCCUAGCUGGUCUGAGGAUGACCAGCCACACUGGAACUGAGACACGGUCCAGACUCCUACGGGAGGCAGUGAAUAUUCUGUCGCAAGCCUGAUGCAGCCCAUGCCGCGUGUAUGAAGAAGGCCUUCGUGUAAAGUACUUUCAGCGGGAGGAAGGAGCAAAGUUACCUUUGCUCAAUUGACGUUACCCGCAGAAGCACUGGCCCGUGCCAGCAGCCGCGGUAAUACGGAGGGUGCAAGCGUUAAUCGGAAUUACUGGGCGUGCGCACGCAGGCGGUUUUGUAAGUCAUGAUGAAAUCCCUGGUCAACCUGGAACUGCAUCUGAUACGGCAAGCUGAGUCUCGUAGAGGGGGUAGAAUUCAGGUGUAGCGGUGAAAUGCGUAGAGAUCUGGAGGAAUACCGGUGGCGAAGGCGGCCCCUGGACGAAGACUGACGCUCAGGUGCGAAAGCGUGGGAGCAAACAGGAUUAGAUACCCUGGUAGUCCACGCCGUAAACGAUGUCGACUUGGAGUUGAGGCGUGCCCGGAGCUCGCGUUGGUCGACCGCCUGGGGAGUACGGCCGCAAGGUUAAAACUCAAUGAAUUGACGGGGCCCGCACAAGCGGUGGAGCAUGUGGUUUAAUUCGAUGCAACGCGAAGAACCUUACCUGGUCUUGACAUCCACGGAAGUUUUCAGAGAUGAGAAUGUGCCUUCGGGAACCGUGAGACAGGUGCGCAUGGCUGUCGUCAGCUCGUGAAAUGUUGGGUUGUCCCGCAACGAGCGCAACCCUUAUCCUUGUUGCCAGCGGUCCGGCUGGGAACUCAAAGGAGACUGGCCAGUGAUAAACUGGAGGAAGGUGGGAUGACGUCGUUUCGCGGCCUACGACCAGGGCACACGUGCCAUACGGCGCAUACAAAGAGAAGACCUCGCGAGCAAGCGGACUCAUAAGUGCGUCGUAGUCCGGAUUGGAGUCUGCAACUCGACUCCAUGAAGUCGGAAUCAAGUAGUAAUCGUGGAUCAGAAUGCCACGGUGAUGUUCCUGGCCUUGUACACCCGCCCGUCACACCAUGGAGGGGUUGUGCCAGCGGUAGCUUAACCUUCGGGAGGGCGCUUACCACUUUGUGAUUCAUGGCUGGGGUGAAGUCGUAACAAGGUAACCGUAGGGAACCUGCGGUUG